UAGACGUGUAGGGUUAACCUUUCUCUCUCCAAGCCCUCUCUCCGAUGCAUCUCUCUCUCCGCCUGCAUCGGUCUCUCUCUCUCCAUCUCUCUUCGAUGCAGCUCUCCCUCCGCCUGCAUCGGUCUCUCUCUCUCCAUCUCCUUCUCCUUCUCCUUCUCCUUCUCCUUCUCCUGGGUCGACUCUGUUGCCAAAAGUCUCUCUCUCUCCCCUCCAUAGACUCGGUUCUUUUGUAGCCGCAGACUCGGAGGUGGUGUCUGUUUGAUUUGCCAUGGAUCUGCCUUUUCAAUCAAAGUUUCGUGACCUGGUUUUGCGGUUAUAGGUCCAAGCAGAUGAUGAUUAAACCUGGUCCGUGACCAUCCAUACUAAGAGGCAGGCUGCCUUCAGUCAAAGCUUCACGACCGUAUUCCCCAGUAUCGACCUGGUUUUGCAGACGCAGACCCGGAAGUGUUGUCCAUUUGAUUCGCCAUGGAUCUGCCUUUUCUAUCAACGUUUCAUGACCUGGUUUUGUGGCUAUGAACAGAUCACUAAAUUCGCUUUAUAGGUCCUAGCAGAGGAUGAUGAAGCCUGGUCCGUGACCAUCCAUACUAAGAGAGCAGGCUGCCUUUUCAGUCAAAGCUUCACGACCGUAUUCCCCAGUAUCGACCUGGUUUUGCAGACGCAGACCCGGAAGUGUUGUCCAUUUGAUUCGCCAUGGAUCUGCCUUUUCUAUCAACGUUUCAUGACCUGGUUUUGCGGCUAUGAACAGAUCACUAAAUUCGCUUUAUAGGUCCUAGCAGAGGAUGAUGAAGCCUGGUCCGUGACCAUCCAUACUAAGAGGCAGGCUGCCUUUUCAGUCAAAGCUUCACGACCGUAUUCCCCAGUAUCGACCUGGUUUUGCAGGUAUGAACAAGUUUCGCUUUUAUACAUCUUCGCAAGCUCAGAUCUGGUCAAGCUGGAAUUUUUAGACGCAGAUAUAGACGCAGGCCUGGAAGCGGUGUCUAUUUGAGUUGCCAUGGAUCUGCCUUUUCAAUCAAAGUUUCAUGAUCUGGUAUUGCGGACCAACAAAAGAGCAGAUCUAAAGGGCAUAUAAGGACUCUGAAAUAUACCAGAAGGACGACCAGCACGUCUCAAUAUAAUCUCCGGUGGUGCAUAACCUUCAGUCAUAAAUGUCGGGUUGCUUGAUUCUUUGACCACUGAGCCAAAGUCAGUAAGUCUUGCAUUGUUAUCCUAUGAACAUACAAGUUAUUAUUUAAGUAUAUAUGCUAAUGUCAAUAACCAGCUGAAUUUGAAAUUUUCUCAUGAGUGAAAUCGAGUACCUGAUCAAGAAGAAUAUUUUCUGGUUUCAAAUCUACUAUGACUAGCAGAUUUUGGUGCACCUUAAUUAUAGCUGAUGCAACCUGUGUACAUAUUUUCACGGUGUCUUGCCAAUUCAAAUCUGUUAUAAAGGCAGACUGCAUAUUAAUAAAAUUAUAUAUAUGUGAUGAUAGGAAAAAAGCAAACAUGUCACCUUUUAGUUCUUUUGAGAGUACUUUUGGCAUGUACUCUAGCACGAGGCAUAAACAAUCUCGGCUUGAUGGGUUGGUGCAGCCGAAGUAGUUAAUGAUGUUUUCGUGCAAAAUGGUCGAAAGAAAUUUUUCCUCUACCUGCAAGAUUUCAGUUUAGAAAAUAAACUCAUUGUAUUCCAAGAAAAAUGUUGUUUCAAUGUUCAAUUUACCUCCCAGCAGGUUUUUUGCAUAUGUCCACUAUUAUACUUCUUAAUCGCAAUGAUACGGUCAUCCAAUAUUGCACGAUAUACUUUGCUGGUGCUUCCCUCAGCAAUUGGAUGUCUGAAAUUGUUCGUGCAGUCUUUCAACUCCACCUCAGUGAAUUGUCUUGGGACAAUGAACCUAUCCAAUAGGAUUCAAUAGGAUGCAAUUAGAACACUUACUCAUUUCUACCUCCUUCCCCUCUCUUUUGACUAGAUGUAUUUUCACUGAAAAGAUAAAUGCAGUUGGCGAACAUGGGAAAUCCAUGCUAAGAGAAUGACCAUUAAGGAAGGUGCCAAUAGAAAGGUUGCUGCGACCAACAUGAACCGUGCAAGCAGUCGUUCUCAUAGUGUCUUUACAUGUGCCAUUGAAAACCAAGGCAGUGAACUUGGUUUGCGCAAGAAUAGGGUGAGAGCUUGAAGCAAGUGGACAGAUAGGUUGUUUUCGACAAAUCCCCUGCUUGAGAAGCUGUUCGGAGUUAGGAGGAGGAAUGCGAUGUUCUGUUUUCAGGUUUGACAUGACAUUUUCAAAAGAAGUAGUCAAGCAAGUAACUGAUUUCCCAUUAGUAAGGAGUAGGUGGGAAGAUUCACUAAGUCAAUUCGAUAGCUCCUAUAGUCCAAAAGGUAAGCAAGGUAAGAAAGUAAAUGGUUAGCUCUCACAGUACACAAGGUGAAUGAAAGCCUUCCCUUCGUCCUGGGGGAGUUUACACAACCGAAUCUGCUGUUAGAUAUAAUAGUUAUAGAAGGAGCUAUUAAGGUGUUUGCGUAGAAGAAGGGGCAAGCUGAGAAUAAGGGAUCGAACUCUCAGUCUCAGGUUUGGCAUUAAGCAUGGUGAAUUCUUUUAUUAAGUACGCAUAGGAAAUGCAAGCUGUCCUUCCUAAGAGCAAUGAGUUCGGAGUAGUAAGUAGGUUUCAAACCUGCUUGCCCCAGAACCUGCUUUUUAACUUGCUUAAGGGACAAGGACUUACACUCUCUCAAA